CCGCUCCACCUCGCCUCGCCUUCCUUGAUUUGGCAGCCGUCUCGCCUCCGAGCAGAUAAGAUUCCCAAUCCCCAUGGCGGCGGCGAAGGAGGAGUUCACGACGCGUGCGUGGGACCGGCGGCGGCGGAUGCAUCGUCUCCAGGCAGUCCCGGUGCUCCCCCUCGUGAGGGCAUCGCGGCUGCCGUCGAUCCUGGAGGAGCAGCCCGCCGCUCCUGCUCCAAUUCCCGCCCCAGUCCUCCCGGCUUCCAGGGUCGCGGAGAGGGACGGCGCCGCCAGCCUGGACACCCCGCUCGCCUACGCGGAGAGCUGCGGGGACGACGCGUGAAUGGAAGAGGAAGACACCAAGAAGCUGACGUCGCACGACCAGGUGCCAAAGAAGUUCCUAGUGGCAAACAGCAUGAAAGACCCUAUGAGGUAGAAAUUCUGCUAUACCAAUGCAUCGAUUGGACUUCAGUUUUUUAUUACAGCUUGGUCAGACUCGGAUUUCUUGCCUACUGCAGCCAAGAGCGUUGCUGCGUUGCAGUUUGUGGCAACUACAAGCACCAAUAUGCUGACGAAUGACAUGAGAAAUGCAAUGGGCAUCAGGAAGAUGAAGACCUAAGGUUUAGAUCAAGGAACAAGUAGGGAGGAAGCACAACUACAGCUGGACAUCAAUGCCAAGUUUUGAGAAGGAAAGGGCUUAGAAGUGCCUACCGACCCCAUCAGCAGAAGCGUAUUGUCCAGCAUUUGAGAAGAGCUUGCCACUAGUUUCAAUUAAUGUGCUAAUCAUACAAAACAGUUGUGAGCUUGUAACUUUCUCAUACAAAACAGUUGCACUGAGUAUCGAACCUGCAACUAUAUAUACAUGCAUGUGAACAUGUAACUUUAUCUGCUUGUGAACCUGUACUGUUGUGAGCUUUGUGGUUAUCCAACUGUAUAUGUAGUAGCUAACAAUAUUUUUUUAUUUUAUAUAUUCACAUUGGUGACGGGUAAAACUGUAGCACGUCACCAAUAAGAAAGUUAUCAGUGACGUGUAACACCUACA